GAUGAGUCUGUGGCUCAGUGGUAGAGCAUCUGCUUCGUAUGCAGAAGGCCCCAGGUUCACUCCCUGGCAGCAUCU